CUUUUCGGAAUUUAAAAAAAAAUAUUUUAAACCCCGCUCAAAUUAUCCGGAUGAUAAUAGUUACACCGAACAUGGUUUCGUAAUUAAAUUCAAACUGUAGAACAUCCGGUUUGAAUACCACAUGUGUUUUCUGACUUUUGGGAGCCAACUCUUGUUUUUUUUGGAACUUACGACUUAUGGCAAGAGAGAAGAAAACUGUGUAACUUUAAAAGAAAACCAGUGAGAUAAAAUCAUAGAAAAUGUAUGAUGAUUCAGGAUGUGGUCAUUUGUGACAUUAAAACAGGAAUUAUCUUCACCAAUAGACGAAUUUCACAUUCCUAAGAGUUUUUUCCAAUUGUUGGCGUAUCGCUCAUUUUUUCCACUUUGUCCUUUGUCCUGUUCUGUGGAUGCCCUAAGACAGUGUCUACCCAUCACUCCAUCUGAUAUCACUUGUUCUGAGCAUAUUUCUCUCUCAAACUUAAACUACAGAGAGCCUGUGGAUAGUGGAUGAAGAGUGACCUUGGACCAAUUUUCUAGGUCAAAGAUCAAAGGUGAUGUGAAGAAAUCCAGGAAACUGAUGUUGAAAGAAGUACUUAAUUACCCUUAUGAAUGGACUUAAAUGUGAAAGACUGUUCCAUUGUUU